ACUCCCAAACCCCUGUGAACAUACCACUUGUUGCCUCGGCGGAUCAGCCCGCUCCCGGUAAAACGGGACGGCCCGCCAGAGGACCCCUAAACUCUGUUUCUAUAUGUAACUUCUGAGUAAAACCAUAAAUAAAUCAAAACUUUCAACAACGGAUCUCUUGGUUCUGGCAUCGAUGAAGAACGCAGCAAAAUGCGAUAAGUAAUGUGAAUUGCAGAAUUCAGUGAAUCAUCGAAUCUUUGAACGCACAUUGCGCCCGCCAGUAUUCUGGCGGGCAUGCCUGUUCGAGCGUCAUUUCAACCCUCAAGCACAGCUUGGUGUUGGGACUCGCGUUAAUUCGCGUUCCCCAAAUUGAUUGGCGGUCACGUCGAGCUUCCAUAGCGUAGUAGUAAAACCCUCGUUACUGGUAAUCGUCGCGGCCACGCCGUUAAACCCCAACUUCUGAAUGUUGACCUCGGAUCAGGUAGGAAUACCCGC
rnacentral:rRNA from 1 species